rnacentral:rRNA from 1 species
CCUACGGGUGGCAGCAGUGAGGAAUAUUGGUCAAUGGGCGCGAGCCUGAACCAGCCAAGUAGCGUGAAGGAUGACUGCCCUACGGGUUGUAAACUUCUUUUAUAAAGGAAUAAAGUGAGGCAUGUGUGCCUUUUUGUAUGUACUUUAUGAAUAAGGAUCGGCUAACUCCGUGCCAGCAGCCGCGGUAAUACGGAGGAUCCGAGCGUAAUCCGGAUUUGUUGGGUUUAAAGGGAGGAUAGAUGGGUUGUUAAGUCAGUUGGGAAAGUUUGAGGCUCAACCGUAAAAUUGCAAUUGAAACUGGCAGUCCUGAGGUCAGUUGAGGUAGGCGGAAUUCGGGGUGGAGCGGUGAAAUGCUUAGA